rnacentral:snRNA from 1 species
AUCGCUUCUCGGCCUUUUGGCUAAGAUCAAGUGUAGUAUUUCUUCCUUUCCAAUUUGGGUGCCUCUU